UCUCAAGGUACAAGAGUGGAACCCUGGGC
rnacentral:piRNA from 1 species